UGGAUCCUUAUCAUUGACUCCCGGAGACAUUGAUUCGUGGCGCGCGAGUCUCUCCGUCGAGAUGAGAUUAUAUUUCGUCAAACGGGAAAUGUCACAAUCUUUGCUCUAACUUGUGCUUACGCGCUCCGCGAUUAAAUUUAACGGAGUUUAUAAACUCCUUCGUUAUCUUGCCAAUUUCGAGUAACAAGACGAGAUGUACGAUCGAGAAGAUCUUGGAACAUGUUGACGGAAUAUGUAUAUCUUAAAAUAUUUUCUCAGAACAUUUGAGAGACACAGCAAGGAAAAUACUCAAAAAAAUGUAAAUAAUCGUUAUCGAUAUACUUUAUUUGCAUUAAUAUUUCUAACGCUAGUCUAACGACAUAACACGAGCGAACAGAACGAAUUUAACAAAUCGAGAGACCUUAUCGCACAAUGAUAAGAUACACGCAACAGAAAUAAAUGUUGAAAAAUUUCCGUUUCGACUUGAUGAUGGAUAAAAAACGAAAGCGAUGGGCGCACAGUUGGACGGUGAAUCGAUCGCGAACAAGGUUGGAGCACGAUCAGUGAGUGGGUCGAUUUCGUCUAACUAACGUUCCCAAAGCUCCUCGGGACAUCCGUUCUUAUCGUCGAUACCGUAACUAAAGCGGCAGAACGGGGCGCCAUAUUGGGAGACCGAGAGAACGCCUUCUACCCCUUUCCUCUGAUAGCAGAACAAAGGAAAUACGCAUACAUGAUAUAUCGAUCGUAUAUUUUCACGUCAAAAUUUAAAAUUUUCAAAAAACGGAAUCGAUGGCUCGUUCCAAUGGCUCGAUGUCUGAAUCUAUUUAACACGAAGAAAAUAUUUAUUGACAAAUACCCAUCGAAGAUGAUAAAUGGCGCAAAAAGUGAUCGAGGCAUUCGUUAAGCUAAAUAACGAAAUAACGGUGAGCGAGUCGACGAACAAAGAAGAAGGCGAGCAAGAUGUGAAAUUGGGAACCACUGUCGAAGAUAACCAAUGGUCCAGAGUGGCGCACACGCGUGCUCGUACACGCACGUAUACAUCCUUGCACGUGUACACGCAGACAGAUGGCGCUUGUAUGAGAUCUGUGUAGUUCCAAGAAACGUACAGUCGUCGGAAAAAGUGACGGGUUCUUCAAUGUCGGACUGGGAGCCGCGGGGGUGGAGGGCGAGGAAGAGAAGUUGAUGGAAAUGUACGCAUUACCAGUCGAGCAUAUUCAUGAAAGUUUCUUGACAUCGACGCCGUUGCAGGCGAAUGACCAAACAGAACCCAGGAGGUCCUCGAUUGUGCAAAGAAAAAUGUACGUAUUGUCCGUCUGAUCGAGUAUCGCAUUUUGAACUAACCUGAGUUGUGAGCUGGAUACGUUUUGAUUAGAAAUGGCAAUGUAUAUAUUGAUGCUUCGAAAAUGAAAUGCAGCGAUAUGAGAAUUCCUCGAGCGCUUAUAUUUUAUACAAGUUAAAAUAUAUAAUAAACGAAAUGAAAUGUUUCGAAAAUAUCGUUGAUAUAUCGGUAGAAAACAUCGAUAUUUCUAUUACUGAUUAUUUCGAAGCAUGAUAUUUUUUUAUAUAAAGGAAUAAAUACAUAUAUAUGAUAAAUAAUUUUUAAGCGACAGUUUUAUUGGAAUCAAAUAUUGCGUGACUUUUAAUUUUUAGAAUGAAUUUUUUUUUCUAAUUUUUUUAAACCAGAUAAUACGAUUUCUUUGAAAUAUUUUAUUAUUUUAUAAUUAAAUUUUUUUUCAAUUUUUUUUUUAUAAUAGUAAUAGAUACUAUAUUAUGAGAAUCAAUUACACAAAACUAUCUACGUUUGUCGUAGAUAGUGUUAUAUAUGAUUCAAAUAUAUUUAUUACUUUGCAAUAUCGUUACAGAUCCUAAUUAAAAAAAGGAAACGAUGAUAAAAAAAAAAGAAAAUAUUAAACAAAUUCUCGAAAUUCGUAUAUAACGAUUUUAAAAAAUAUGGUAUAAUGGAAAAUAGAAAAAAGAUUGAAAAAAUGAAAGAUCGCGUUAUACGCAAUCUUGGGCCUUAAUGGAUAAGACGUCUCCGUGUUAUCUAGGUUGUAACCCCUUAUCUACUGCACACGGUUCGCUCUACGGGGCGAUCGACUCUCGAAACACGGACAAACCGUGGUCGAUGCCGCGACUCGACUGUUCGAAUGGUUCUCCCUCUUUUUACUUUAUUUCCGUAUCCGUUAGCAUGAAAGAAGGAUAUUCAUGAAUGUUUUUUUACCCAGGCCAGUCCGACAUGAACGUAAAGGGAUGGUGAGCGAAGAAACAACGGACCGUUUGUGCAUUUUCUGGUGACGUUCACCAACCAACCGGUCGACGCGUCUCGAAGGGCGUCACGUCACCUUUUAUUCCCGUAUAUUUACCCUUUGAUAAAGUUUAAAUCUUUAGAGUUUGAUCGUAGAAAUAAAAAAAAAGGGAAAGGAAAAGAAAAAACAUACGAAAAAUAAGCAAUAAAAAUGUUAUAGAAAAAUGCGCAUUCGUUAGUUCGAAUUAAAUAUAACGAAUUAAAAAUUCUUUGACGUAAA